AGAGAAAGUGCGGCAAGCUGCCUUUAUGAGAUGGGGAAGCUGCCAGGUUGUCUCUGGACUUUCCCGUCACUCCGUGGUCUCAGGUCAUCCAGUCCCCAUCAGGUCCAGAGUUCCAGAGAAGACUAGGUUGUUACUGGCACCCUCUCCCUUCUAGGGCUUGUUCCCCUCCCAAGUACGGAGUUGUGUUUUCCCUUCGAACUUUUGCUAUUCAACCCCCGAGGGAGGGAACAAUCGACAGUUACCACACUGUCCCAUCACCAGCGCCACCAGUGCUACCACCCUUUUCUGGUUAAUGGCCCUACAGGUAUUUUUUUUUCCAAAGGGGAAAAAAAAUUGAGGGUGGCAGAUGCUGGGUAUGGGGAGAAGGAAGGAGAAGCACUUUUUGGAAAGCAAUUAGGGGCCCUGCCUUGGUGCGUGAAGCUCUUCCCUCUGUUUGCAGGCAGGAGGUCCACAGACAGAAGCAACACACAGAGCUCUGUAUGUGUGAGAGCCUGUCCUCUCCCCAAAGGGCGUGUUGAGAUGGAGCGCCAGAACUCAACGGGAUGAUAGUUUUCAUCCUAGUUCUCAUGUUGAUGUCAACAGCACAGGGCAGUAUGGUGUUUCCUUGGUUCCUGUUCCUGGGACAUUCACAGAGGAUGGCAGCACCUUGAGGCAAAAACCUCUGAGGACACAUCUCACAGCCAUGGUUUCUCCUGGAAUCAGGCUGAUGUGGUCUGGUCCUGUCCCUCAUAAGGUGGAGGCCUUAAUAAUCCUCCACUAGCUCCAAUAUUCUCUCUGCCUUCAGCGCUACAGCCCCAGCAGUCCGGAGCUUACCCUCCCACAGAUGGAGGUCUCUGCACUCAACCAAAGACCUAGGCAAGCAGCCAUGUGCUUUUCUUGAUCUAAGCCUUACUCACUCACCCGCCACACUACAGCAUGUACCAAAUGUGGCCGUCUGUUCCUCCAGCUCAAGAAAAACUAGAAGGGAGACAGCCAUGAAUGAAUGACAGACGCGACAGCUGACAGGCUGUGAAUCCAAGGGGUAAAAAAAUAAUUAGUCCUGAAAUCAUUUUACCACAAAUAUGGAGGCUUAUAACAAUGACUUUGAGUUAAGUAGAGGUUUAAGUCGUAUCCUGAUUCUUGUGUGCAGAUGGCAAAGUACAUAAUACAUUGAAAAAUAAGACUAGGUAUAGAUCUCACUGGUAGAAUAUUGCCUGCUCUGCACAAGAUCCCUGAUUCAAACCUCAGCAACACACACACACACACACACACACACACACACACACGGGGGGGGGGCGGGGUGGAAGAAGAAGGGAGAGAGGGAGGA
rnacentral:lncRNA from 1 species